AUGAUGGCCAUGGUAACUCGGACGAUGGACCGACAUGCUCUGGCCUCCAAGUCACUCGGACUAAAACUUUCCGAACAGUUUUCUUUGGAGGUAUAUUAAGAACAGUGUCUAGUAGUAGAUAUAUAACUUGUACAUGAAACUGCUGAACGUGUUGAAUUUCUGAAGCAGUGGCACGAUGUUCAGGUAGCACACCCGAUUUAUCUAUCUGUAAAAGGAACAAGUCAACAGAACUUUUCAUUUCCGGCCAAAUACCAAGAUACAUAUAUCCAUAAGAACCAUGCUUUCUGGCUCAAUGUUCCAAUCUUACGACAGAAGCCCAAAUCGGGAUUUAUGGGAUUUUAUCGAAGAACUUCUAAAGAAAGGAUCGCACUUGAUAUUUUCGGUCAUAUACCUCGUACAAUUACCGGAAACAAGUACAACUAGUUUAUUAUGGAAUACUUUAAGUAAUUAAAUAGAGACGUUCGCCAUACCUAACUAAGAAGCUUCAACCGUCGUCAAAGAUCUGGUAGAAAACUGGUUUCCCGGUUUAGGGUGUCUCUGUUUAUUCAAUCUGACCAAGGAACAAACUUCACGUCAAUCAUGUUUAAAGGGUUAUGUGAGAUUCUCGGUAUGGAGAAGACUCAAACGACUUUUUUAAAUGGCUUGGCGGAGAGAUAUAAUCGAACAACAUUUCACUAGAAUUUUCUAUUCCUAUCUGAGAGCCAGCAGGACUGGGAUCAUUAUUUCUUUAUCUCAUCUAGAAUUGCCAUUCAUGAGAGCGCUGGUAUCCCAAUUGAUUUCUGACCAUGAUUUUCGUCUGCCGUGUGGCCUGCUCUUAGGCUACCGCCGGACAUCCCCUUAAGCAGUACCUAGAAGAUCCACAGGCACUUUUAAAAGAAGUACAUUGGUUGCCAGAAGAAAAACCAACACAGUAACUGAGAUGAUAAAAAUUAAGUAUAAUGCCAAGCUUACAGUGAGAGAAUUCAAAUAAGAAAAUUAAUAGCCUAGUUGUAGAACCUUUAGCGUCUUCGAGGGAUUUCCCCCUUGCAGCAGAUACUUCGGGAAAAGCUUUCCGUGUGAUUAAAAGGUUAAACGAUGUAGUGGUGCAUAUCCAAUGGCAUUUUUUAAACCUAAAUUAGUGCAUUACGAUAGACGUGGAACUUUAUUACGUCAAUGACUGUUAGUUCUUCUGUGUUGUUGUACUGCACUGACCAGGACAUCAUUAAAUAAGGAGCGAUGUUGUGAAUUUCUAUGUAAAGUUCUAUAAAUAUUUAAGUUAAUUUGCUUGCAUAGUUGCUUUUGUGUGUUCGUGUAACGUUUUCUAUCCCUUUAGACAUUUAUUUAUUUAUUGGCUUUUUUUUCAGGGUGAUAACUUUAACACAUAUUUUGGGAGUAAUUGAAUUUAUGGCCCCAUGUUUCUUAUAUAAUUGUUUGUUUUUUAUACCGAACUGGAAAUCGAAAUUCUGAGUUCAACAUCAUGAGAUUUGACAAAAUAGCUCAACUAUAUCGCGUAAUAUGGCUAAUAGGCUGUGGACGUAUGUUUACUAAAUAUGUAUUUGACAAUUUUGAAAUUUCUCAAUAAUUUGCGGCUUUCCGGCAGAUCCUAGAAGAAGCAUUUUCGAAUAUCUACGAUUAGCUUUUCAGCUAAAGCAGCCCUGGAAUUAACGUUUAGUAAUGGCAAACACAAGAAGAUUUUCGCAGGUUUUAUGUUAAAUUUGCAGUCUAUUCGGAGAGGAUGCAGCAUAUACUCAUUAGUUAGCGCAAUUGAAAAACAGCUGAUGUUGCUUCCUGGAAAUCUGAAGCUAAACUUAAAUUGGUACCGGCUCACACUUGGAUCUUGAGUAAUGAAACAGCUGACAAAAUUGAUAAAAGCGGAGAUAACCAUUCAUUCAUGUGUACACUCAAAUAUAUUCCUUCCUGUCUAGUAUUUCAAAGCCACACUCUUGGAUGAAUUAUGUAAACAACUAUUCGCAUAACUAUUGGAACAUGGCUGUUACUGGCAAAAAACUGUACAACAUGUUUCCUAAUGUGGAUCAAAACUUAAUUAGCGACUGUCCGCAGUUUGUUCAAUAUUUAACAGGGCGUAGCUCAUAUAGUAUUUCCUACUUGCGUCAUUUUGGCAUCAAAAAUAAUGACUUCAACAUUUACUGCAGUACUGAUCACUAUUUGGUCGAUCGCACGUAUACCAAAAACUAUCAUUUGAAGGGUCUGUGCAUUGAAUCCUCGACAAUCAUGGGCCAAAAUAUAUAUCAAUUCAAUCGCUUAUGACACUGUUCUCCCAUUGCUAAGAGAAUAGCUGACCGCCUGGAAACAUUUGCUGCCUUUUUUCUCUCCCCUUCAUCCCCAAGAAAAGAACCUAAAAUAUAAACAUUUGUAUUUUAUUAUGUAUUUUCCUCUUUUUAUAUGGAGACCUUGUAUUUUAUAUCCCUGUGUUACUUACUGAACAUAAUUAUAUGUUUUCUGCAGUUAUUCAGGAAUGUAUUUAUACUUGUUGCUCUGUUGUAAUGUUUUGUUUUAUGAUUUGUCUCCCUAAAUAUAAUUAUCUUAUAACUUUUAUACUAAUACACUGUUAUGUUUUAGAAAUAUACUGAUUGGUAGGUAAAUUUAUGCCUUGCUUUGAACUGUUUUUAUAUGGAAAUGUUUAUGCAAAUAUUGCCAUGUGGACAUUUUCUCACUCUGAAUUCUGCUAAAAUUUGCUAUUUUGUGUCUUUAUAAUAGUAACUGUCUUGCCUUAAUUUUUUACCUUGCUUUUGAUUGUAUUCUUAUGGGAAUGUUUAUACAAAUAUUAUUAUGUCCACAUUUUAUCACUGAGAAUUCUGCUACCAUAUUUGCCUGUAUAAUAGUUUAUAUAAUUUAUAUCCUUAUCAUAAUGUAUCAUAAAUAUAUAAAUAUUUAUGAUAAAUAAUAUAAUAAAUAAAUAUUUUUUCAAUAAUA